rnacentral:misc_RNA from 1 species
GAUGAAGAACGCAGCGAAAUGCGAUAAGUAAUGCGAAUUGCAGAAUCCGUGAGUCAUCGAAUCUUUGAACGCACAUUGCGCCCUCUGGUAUUCCGGAGGGCAUGCCUGUUCGAGCGUCAUUUCACCACUCAAGCCUGGCUUGGUGUUGGGCGACGUCCCCUUUGGGGACGCGCCUCGAAACGCUCGGCGGCGUGGCACCGGCUUUAAGCGUAGCAGAAUCUUUCGCUUUGGAAGUCGGGGCCCCGUCUGCCGGAAGACCUACUCGCAAGGUUGACCUCGGAUCAGGCAGGGAUACCCGCUGAACUUAAGCAUAUCAAUAAGCGGAGGA